CUAUCCAUUAAAAAAAAGCCCGAAAAGUGUUCUACCGUUUGCCAGUGAUGGAGAAGAUCAUGAUUAAGAGCAACACCUGCAGCUUGUGAACGACUCAGGUACGUUGAAGAAUCCACACCGUCGUCUGUCAUCUCUUUUCCAUUCUCAGAGGGGUUUCCUGCACCUGCUUCCUUCCUUUGUGAUGCUAAUCAGCUAACGCAAGAGCUUGAGGUGGAAGCCAGCUCUUUAUGGAGUCCACACAGCAUUUCAUUAAAGCCUAUGUGGAGCCAGCCUCAGGGACAUGGCCACAUAAUUCAUUUGGAAGUACACUGUCUCCUGCAUCCCCUGUAUCCAU